AGUGAACGCUGGCGGUAGGCCUAACACAUGCCAGUCGAACGGCAGCACAGUAAGAGCUUGCUCUUACGGGUGGCGAGUGGCGGACGGGUGAGGAAUACAUCGGAAUCUACUUUUCGGGGGGGGUAAAGGAAGGGAACUUAACCCUAUUCCCCAUUACACCUACGGGUUAAAAGAGGGGGUCUUCCGACCUUUGGCGGUUUAAAUGGCCGGAUGUCGGAUUAGCUAGUUGGCGGGGUAAAGGCCCACCAAGGCGACGAUCCGUAGCUGGUCUGAGAGGAUGAUCAGCCACACUGGAACUGAGACACGGUCCAGACUCCUACGGGAGGCAGCAGUGGGGAAUAUUGGACAAUGGGCGCAAGCCUGAUCCAGCCAUACCGCGUGGGUGAAGAAGGCCUUCGGGUUGUAAAGCCCUUUUGUUGGGAAAGAAAAGCGGCAGGUUAAUACCCCGCUGUUCUGACGGUACCCAAAGAAUAAGCACCGGCUAACUUCGUG
rnacentral:rRNA from 1 species